rnacentral:tRNA from 1 species
GGGCGCUUAGAUCAGUUGGAAGAUCGCUUGAGUGGCACUCAAGAGGCCGGGGGUUCAAAUCCCCCAGCGUCCACCA